CCAAGGAGUCUAGCAUGUGCGCGAGUCAUUGGGUUUCGCUAAACCUAAAGGCGGAAUGAAAGUGAAGGCAGCCUCGGGUUUGCCCAGGUAGGAUCCCGGUCAUCUGGGCUUGGCGCACUACCGGCCCGUCGCGUCCGCUCUGCGGUGCGGCGGAGCAAGAGCGUACACGCUGGGACCCGAAAGAUGGUGAACUAUGCCUGAGUAGGACGAAGCCAGAGGAAACUCUGGUGGAAGUCCGUAGCGGUUCUGACGUGCAAAUCGAUCGUCGAACUUGGGUAUAGGGGCGAAAGACUAAUCGAACCAUCUA
rnacentral:rRNA from 1 species